GGUUGCAUGGUGUAGUGGUUAUCACACUUGUCUCACACACAAGAGGUCCCCAGUUCGACCCUGGGUGCAAUCA